UACACCUAGCUAGGAUGUUGAGUAGUUAAUAAAGCGUACAACUGUCAAUUAAUGAUUGACUAAUAAUUAACUUAGUUAGCAAUUUGUUAGACAGUUAGUGAGUUGAUUAUUUUGUAUAUAUAGGUGUUCAUUAAAUAUCAUAUCAGAUAUUUUUCAUUCAGUUGUAGUUACAGUUUUCAUGUCAAUGAAAUUCUUCUUCUUCAUUGUUGUCUAAGUUUUUGCUUGUUCAGUUACUGAACUUAACAGUUAGGUCUGUCAAUUUUUAUUUUUUUGUCCAAUUCUUUAUUAUUAUUUUUCAUGAAUCAAAACUAGAGUUCAUCGAUUUGCUAAUUUGUUGUUGUAUGGGGGUAUUUGGUAUAUGGAUCUAGAGCUAAAAUAAAGCGUGUGGUGGAGUUUACAAUUUGUUCGAAAGUAGUUGCUUGGUGAGUUUGGAUUUGGUUGCUAACUGAUAUUUUUAUUUUUAAAUUCAUUUCAACUCUGAUGAAAACAAUGCCCACAAAAAUAGGCAAAGCUUAAAAAUUGAAGAGCAUAAGAUACAUUUUUUGGGUUAACCUCUACUUUAUUUUGUUAAUUCUUCUAUUUAAUUUGUAGUUUACAGAUAUUUCUAUUUCUUCAGCGAAUGUUCAACCAGCAAUAUAUUGAAAUUGAAUCUGUUUCAUGUGUUUGUUCCGCACUAAGACGAGACUAAGUUAUUUUUCACUUGUAGCAAGAUUUAAUGGAGUAUGCAUAUGUGAUUUUUCUGUUGAAAGAUUUUUGACGUGCACCAGGUGUUUGAGAAAAUGUCUAAAAUAGAAAAAAUCAUACUUCGCUUACACUUUAAGUAAUUUGGAUUUCGUGCACUCCUUUAAAUCCCUUGAAUAUUUUGAGUUAUACCAUAACUUGGUAUUAUACCACUUCUCAUGUUAACACUACAUGCGUUGAUCCCUUUGUUAAUUCUCUGUUUUUUUUUUAAUUUCAUUUGCGCAUGUUCUUAAUUUUAUUUCUUGUAUUAAUGAUUCAAUUUUUAAGAUCUUGUUUAAGAUGAAAAAUAUUGAAAUAACUAAUAUUUUAGUACACAUUCAUAUUUUGAAUAGAAAAUUUCACCUGGCUCUUGUAAUAAGUAAUUGGUUAUAUAUGUAUGUAUGUUUAUCAUACGUUAUGUUGGUUUGAACUACUCUAAUUUUAAAGAGGUAAAUUAAAAUUUGUUUUUCUUGUAUGUUACCAACUUAUGAGAAUUUUCCUACUUACAUAUAGUAUCCUUUAUUAUGUGAAGGAAAUAUGUUUAUUGUGGUGAUACCUAUGAAAUAUUAUUAUUUGGCCAACACCUUUUUGUUCCAUUCGACACAUAUGGCAUAUUGUCAGAGCCUAAGGGAUUUGUACACUCAUUUGAUACCCAUCCAACGAGUUCAAAUUGGUCAACACCCUAAUAGACCAAAUGUUCAAGUUCAUAUACUAAAUAUGAUGGAGAAGAUAUGUCUGUUGAUUUUUUUUUCUGCUCAUUAUAGUAUUAGCAGUUUUUUUUGACAGUGCAACUCGAGCAAUCUUACCCUAUAUUAUGAAUAAAGUGGGUAGAGUUCAUGGAGAUCGUGAUGGCUAUGAUGAUCCAGCCACGGUGAGUGAUAUUGGGAGCAUUGAAGGUAGAAGUUAUCUCUUCAUUGGUCAUCCACUUUGCAAUGAAAAUCCCUUAUGGGUCACUUUGAACUGAUUUUUACAUUAACUAAGCAACAAGCUGAUAGGCUGAAGUUGUUGCUCAUAACUUCUCAACAUGUUCCCAGUUUGACUUUUGCUCAGGUUAUCAGAUUUUUGGAGAGUCUAUAUAGCGGUCAGUUGUUUAAAAGAAAUAUUGCUUAAUUUGAUACCUCAAGGUUAGUUUUGUAAAAAAAUGAAUUGAUAACUACUAGAUCUUAGCCUUGCAGGUAAAGAAAGGCUUUGAGAAUGAUGAAAUAUGUUGAUCAUCGUGUCUUUACUAUUGUUACAUUUGUUGACACUCCAGGGUUUUUGCUGAUUUAAAACCUGAAGAGCUGGAUCAGUCCUGAAGCCUGUGUGCAAUAUUAUGGAAGUUUCACAAGCAAUUUUCAAGGUAAUGAGAAAUAGUUGUUCCAGUUUGUGAAAAAAAAAGGUUUAUCAUAUGAAAAUUAUGAUUGAAUAAGCAACUGAGAAAUUGAGGAUCACAACUCAAGAACAAUGCAAUGCAAUUAUUCCUGUAAGUAUCGUCUUUAUACUUUUCACCUCUAUACUUAAUUUGUUUUUUGAAAGGGAAAGAUUGAAAUCUAUGGUAAAGAGUUGGUGAUGUCAAGUAGUGUGAAAGAAACAAUGUUUAGCUGGACUUUUGGAAGAGGGGGAAACAAUGCAAAACAUGAGAUUGUUGCUCCUUUAUCACUAUGUUGAUAAAACUUUUAAUGAAGCAGAGAUGAAUUUUGCACACUUGAAGAAUAGUUCCUUAUCCCUUAUCUAUGUUUUUUGCACUCACAAGGUUCUUAUAUAUGUAUAGAAGAUCGGAUGUAUUCAUAAAAUAUAUCUUUUGUAAGUUUGUCUACAUUUGAUAUACUUUUUGUAUAUGUGUGUGUUAUUUUGCUUCUUUUGCUGUUGGAUUUAUUAGUUUUUCCAAAAAGAAAAAGAAAAAAAGUAGACACAACAUGUGUUCUAAGUUGAGCUUUUUUAUGCUUGUAGUGUUAUUGCACACUUCUAAUUUACAAGAAAAUUCUGAUGUAAGUCUAAUAAGUAUUAACUACAGGAAAUUUUUUUCAAACUUGGGAAAAUGAAUUUGAUGACUAAAGUCGAUUGUUUGAAUACUGACCGGUGUGCUCCUUAUAUCUAAGCGAACAAAGGAGUAGAAAAUAUAAAUUUUUCUCUUCGUGAGAAGUGGAUUACUGUUGGUCUACAUUCCUAAUUUGUGUCUAUUUAAGUAGAUUCCUUGGUGUAUCAAAUUAGUGAUAUCUUACUGGUUAGCUUUUCCUAGAAAAAGAAUAAGAAAGUGAAAGAGAUGUCUCUUGGAAGGUAGUUCAUAUAGUGGAAUAACUUUUCAAGAAAUUAAUCUGGAUCUUUUUCAAAUGUAUAAUGACAAUUCAUGGUUUUCUUGGUACCUUUAUGAGUAUGAUAGACUGACUUAAAUCAUAAAAUUGUCAUUUUAGCAUUGAAAUAUGUACAGGAUGAAUCACUUGAUACGACUUUUAAUGUUGAUAAAAGCACGGGUGAGGAAUUGAUAUCAUACUCAUCUACUGCUCUAGAAAAUCAUGACAUUCUAGAUGGACCGGUAUCAAAUCAUCACUUUAGCCCCUGAGGGAAUGGUAUGACAGUCUCUUCGUUAAUUUAUUCCUGCA